GAAAUGCGAUAAGUAAUGUGAAUUGCAGAAUUCAGUGAAUCAUCGAAUCUUUGAACGCAGCUUGCGCUCCUUGGUAUUCCUUGGAGCAUGCCUGAUUGAGUAUCAUGAAAUCUUCAAAGUAAAUCUUUUGUUAACUCAAUUGGUUUCUACUUUGGUAUUGGAGGUCUUUGCAGCUUCACACCUGCUCCUCUUUGUUCAUUAGCUGGAUCUCAGUGUUAUGCUUGGUUCCACUCGGCGUGAUAAGUUAUCUAUCGCUGAGGACACUGUAAAAGGUGGCCAAGGUAAAUGCAGAUGAACCGCUUCUAAUAGUCCAUUGACUUGGACAAUACUUUUAUGAUCUGAUCUCAAAUCAGGUAGGACUACCCGCUGAACUUAAGC
rnacentral:misc_RNA from 1 species